rnacentral:tRNA from 1 species
GCCGAUGUAGCUCAGUGGUAGAGCAACUGUUUUGUAAACAGUAGGUCGUCGGUUCAAAUCCGACCAUCGGCU